rnacentral:lncRNA from 1 species
CAGGCUCCAGCCUUUCAGUUUCUGGCUGCUGCUUGUUCCCAGAGCUGCCAGGAGUGGGGAGGGCUGCCAUUAGAUUGGCACAGAUGGUGAUGCUCAGAACGGGGCCCCAGGGCUUCCUGCUUGGCUCUUUUAUCUGUCUCAGGGGCGGACAACUAGCCUUCCCUGCUCUGGCCACAGAAGGAGAGCACCUAGCAAGGAACAGAGGUGACUGCUGCAAGAUACUGUGCCCAUCUGUGGGACUGUAUUAAGCAUCAAAUGAGCAGCUGCUUAGUAGAUGUUGAUGGCUGAGGCUGUGGAGGGGUCUUUCUCUCCCAGACUUGGGAGGAGAUGCCUGUCUUGGGUCCAGAUCUCACCCGAGUUUCUGUUUCCGUUUCUUUAGGACUUCAGCUCAUCUCAGGCUGUGACAUGGGCAGUCAGCACCAUUACGUUCUUCUUCUCUGAGGCUUUCCUGGGCCAGCACUUCGAGGCUGUGGAGUUGGAGGACAAUGAACCUGAGCCAGGAGACCUCUUCCUAUUCAGGCUGAUGUCCCCCACUGGACACUGGUGCGGGGCCCAUGUUGGCAAGAACCCUCGUGGCCAUGGGCCGCACCUGUUUCUCGGCUCCUGUGAAGGCAUUGUAUCCAAACAAGGGCAGCGCCCAAUGCUGCGCUCCCGCUUGCUUUGGAGGGUGCUGCAUAGACGCGAUGGCAUUGACCACGUAGCACUGGAGCGCCGAGGGCACGAAGCCAUGGACACUGACCCGCCUCCCUAUCACCCCAUGCGCAGCAACUGCGUGCAUUUUGCUCUGCAACUGUUGGGUCCAGGGCCCAACCUGGACCCUGUACAAGUAGUCCGGACUCCCAUGACUUCGGUUUCCGUGGAUGUGGACUUGACCGUGGACUAGCUGUGACCUCAGGCACUCCUAGUGGGCAAGGGGCUUCAGAAAUGAUCAUUAAACUAUUUUCCAAAGCCA